GGGUGGCGAGUGGCGGACGGGUGAGGAAUACAUCGGAAUCUACUCUGUCGUGGGGGAUAACGUAGGGAAACUUACGCUAAUACCGCAUACGACCUACGGGUGAAAGCAGGGGAUCUUCGGACCUUGCGCGAUUGAAUGAGCCGAUGUCGGAUUAGCUAGUUGGCGGGGUAAAGGCCCACCAAGGCGACGAUCCGUAGCUGGUCUGAGAGGAUGAUCAGCCACACUGGAACUGAGACACGGUCCAGACUCCUACGGGAGGCAGCAGUGGGGAAUAUUGGACAAUGGGCGCAAGCCUGAUCCAGCCAUACCGCGUGGGUGAAGAAGGCCUUCGGGUUGUAAAGCCCUUUUGUUGGGAAAGAAAUCCAGCUGGCUAAUACCCGGUUGGGAUGACGGUACCCAAAGAAUAAGCACCGGCUAACUUCGUGCCAGCAGCCGCGGUAAUACGAAGGGUGCAAGCGUUACUCGGAAUUACUGGGCGUAAAGCGUGCGUAGGUGGUCGUUUAAGUCCGUUGUGAAAGCCCUGGGCUCAACCUGGGAACUGCAGUGGAUACUGGGCGACUAGAGUGUGGUAAAGGGUAGCGGAAUUCCUGGUGUAGCAGUGAAAUGCGUAGAGAUCAGGAGGAACAUCCAUGGCGAA
rnacentral:rRNA from 1 species